UCAGGAGGGAGGAAAGAUCUUCUUUCCCUCAGUCACAGCAGUGUGUGUGUGUGUGUGUGACUAUGAUGAGAUUUUAGGAGGAAGAAUCAGCUUGCCUUGGAGUGGUAUACGCCUAAUGUGGGCCACUGUUGAGUCAUGCUGGUCAUUCCAAAGUUUGCAGCGCAAUAAUUUUCCACGUUGAUCUGGUCCACCAAGCGCGUGGUGCACUCUACCUAUAGACUGCAUUAUUGCAGCACCGACAACAUUGAAUAGGGUGCUUGUACACUUUUCCUGUUAUUAGUCUUCGCAGAAUCAAUUUCAGAUAUUGGGCAUUGGAUCCUACGUCCUUCUAGAUGGGUCAAGUCAAGAUCAGAUUUUGGGCAUGUCAAACACAUCAUGAUAGACCACCCGCACCUCACUGGAUGAUUGCACGCGCGCUGUUGGCUUGGAGUUGUACCGGCUUAGGAGUCUUAUUGAGAUAGGUGCCUCUGUAGUUGUUUGUUGUGUUUUUGUUUCUAGUGUUGAUUCUUUAAGCUAUGUUUCUUCCCUGUCAUGUUUACUAAAUUCCUUGAUUUGGUUUAUUUUUUCAGAUCGUGUAUGCCCUCCUCCUGCAGGAUCCGUGAUGCGACCCACCCCGCAGCCGGCAGUUCAGGACGAGGAUGGAGGUGACGAACGCAUGUCCUCCUCCUCGACCUCCAAGGACGUAGGCCUUGGAUCCGUGCUCGCAGGCCCCAGCCUUGGCUUCUUCUGUGACUACUGCAUCAGCCAUGGCGUCCACCUCCCUACAGUCGCUGACUCCCAAGCAACAGCAGCAUCAACCGAUCCCACCCCCCUUCUCUCAGCGUGGCACAUCGGCUGCGGUUGGCCUUGUUGGUGGCUAGGACCGUCAUGGGUGUCACAUGUGCCCUCUCCGUUGAACUGUUGGUCGUCGAUGCGGCGGCAGCAGCAUCUUCGACCCCCUUCCUCACUGGCCACAGGUGGAUGCUGAGGUACAAGACCUGGAUAGGAGAUCCGGUGGGGUUGCGACGGGCUUGAAGACGUAGUAGAGGUGCAGCCUCCUGCCCAUGGCUUCCAAGACUUCACGACAAGGCCCCUGCCCUUGGUUCGUUCUAGGAAACCUUUUGGAAGCAACACAUCCAAGUCCGGCUCUAUCUUCGUGUCAUCGCUUGGUGGGCUCCGCACGACCCAGAGGAAUCUCUGUCGACUAGCCUCUAGCCCAAUGGCCAUUUCUCUGGUUUGCCUAGCGCUGAAUCGGCCGAGGCUGCCAAAGCCCUGUGUUCUCCAUUCUUCGACCUCUGGCCAAUCUGAGAACAAUCCAAUUGGGUUUUGGAUCUUCUACAUGGUCAAAGAUUGGUAGUGGUAAGCAACAGGUACAAUUUUUAUUUGUGUUUGCUAUUAAUCAGUCAACUGGAAAAAAUUCUCGCGUUCAGUUGAUUCCCACAUGCGAGAGCAAGGCAAUGCUGAGACAGAGACAUGCUCAACACGGCGUCCUCGAUGUGGCUUUGGCUGAAUCACGCAGGAGAACAGAACAUCGAGUGUGGCAACGGGGUCGCUGGCAGGGGUGAGGAAGCAGAUUGACCGGUGCGGGUAGGGGACUUCUACUUCUGACCGCCUCUCAGAUUGGCCAUCCGGUCUAGUUUGAAAUGCACCACAUCUAUUAGUUUACUGUCAAUGUCAUCCAUUUUCUGACCUCCUAGACUCACGUGUAAGAUAGCCAAUAUGAGAAGAAUCUGAUAGGGUUCUAGAUCUAUGAAUCUUUUAGACAAAAUAUUAGCAUAUGGGAAGCUUGCAGUGGCAUGUAUGGAAAAUUCUCAAUUAUGUGUAGACAGUACAUGUUAUAGAAAUGAAGAAACUAAAAUCA